AUUGAACGCUGGCGGCAGGCCUAACACAUGCAAGUCGAGCGGAGCGGCGGACGGGUGAGUAAUGCCUGGGAAUCUGCCUGGUAGUGGGGGAUAACUUCGGGAAACGGGCGCUAAUACCGCAUACUAUCAGAUCAGCCUAGGUCGGAUUAGCUAGUUGGUGGGGUAACGGCUUACCAAGGCGACGAUCCGUAGCUGGUCUGAGAGGAUGAUCAGUCACACUGGAACUGAGACACGGUCCAGACUCCUACGGGAGGCAGCAGUGGGGAAUAUUGGGCAAUGGGCGAAAGCCUGAUCCAGCCAUGCCGCGUGUGUGAAGAAGGUCUUCGGAUUGUAAAGCACUUUUGGUAGGGAAGCGUUACCUACAGAAUAAGCACCGGCUAACUUCGUGCCAGCAGCCGCGGUAAUAC
rnacentral:rRNA from 1 species